UACGAAGGGGGGCUAGCGUUGCUCGGAAUCACUGGGCGUAAAGCGCACGUAGGCGGCUUACUAAGUCAGGGGGUGAAAUCCCGGGGCUCAACCCCCGGAACUGCCUUUGAUACUGAUAGUCUCGAGUCCGGAAGAGGUGAGUGGAAUUCCGAGUGUAGAGGUGAAAUUCGUAGAUAUUCGCAAGAACACCAGUGGCGAAGGCGGCCAACUGGCCCGAUACUGACGCUCAUGUGCGAAAGCGUGGGGAGCAAACAGG
rnacentral:rRNA from 1 species